rnacentral:rRNA from 1 species
AUUGAACGCCGGCGGCAUGCUUUACACAUGCAAGUCGAACGGUAACAGGGUGCUUGCACCGCUGACGAGUGGCGAACGGGUGAGUAAUGCGUCGGAACGUGCCGAGUAGUGGGGGAUAACGCAGCGAAAGUUGUGCUAAUACCGCAUACGUACUGAGGUGGAAAGUGGGGGACCUUCGGGCCUCACGCUAUUCGAGCGGCCGACGUCUGAUUAGCUAGUAGGUGAGGUAAAGGCUCACCUAGGCGACGAUCAGUAGCGGGUCUGAGAGGAUGAUCCGCCACACUGGGACUGAGACACGGCCCAGACUCCUACGGGAGGCAGCAGUGGGGAAUUUGGACAAUGGGCGAAAGCCUGAUCCAGCCAUGCCGCGUGUCUGAAGAAGGCCGUCGGGUUGUAAAGGACUUUUGUCGGGGAGGAAAUCCCUAGCGUUAAUACCGCUGGGGGAUGACAGUACCUGAAGAAUAAGCACCGGCUAACUACGUGCCAGCCGCCGCCGUAA